GACGAACGCUGGCGGCGUGCCUAACACAUGCAAGUCGAACGAAGCACUGCGGAAAGAGACUUCGGUCAAUGGAAGCUUUGACUUAGUGGCGGACGGGUGAGUAACGCGUGAGGAACCUGCCUUUCAGUGGGGGACAACAGUUGGAAACGACUGCUAAUACCGCAUGAUGUGUUUUGGGGGCAUCCCCGGAACACCAAAGAUUUAUUGCUGAAAGAUGGCCUCGCGUCUGAUUAGAUAGUUGGUGGGGUAACGGCCUACCAAGUCGACGAUCAGUAGCCGGACUGAGAGGUUGAACGGCCACAUUGGGACUGAGAUACGGCCCAGACUCCUACGGGAGGCAGCAGUGGGGAAUAUUGGGCAAUGGGGGAAACCCUGACCCAGCAACGCCGCGUGAAGGAAGAAGGCUUUCGGGUUGUAAACUUCUUUUACCAGGGACGAAGGACGUGACGGUAC
rnacentral:rRNA from 1 species